AUUAAAUCAUUUUUAAAAAUUGUCCAAAAUGUUAAAUAAUUUGAAAAGCUGAAGGAACACUGUAGCAUUAGGAAUACAUCUACAUUUCCUAACGCUACAGCCCUGAUGUACCUUGUUAUUUACGUCCUCACUAGCUGUCUAAAAAUAAAUAAAUCAUAAUUUUCAAAAAUAGCUCACCUUUUCUCUAGCGCCGAAUCUCUGCCAACUCCUUAAUGCCAAUCCAUUGAUUCUCCUUGAUGUGCUUGAAAUUUCUCCAUAGAGAAUCAUAUUACUUAAUGAUUCUCUAUAGCUGACCGUGAUAGCACUGUGCAUGCGAGUGUUUCUCUAUUGAGCAAUUUAUUAAGAAUGCAAAAAUGCAAAAAUGUAGAUCUUAAUGCUGCUUGUCACCAUCUGGAGUCUUUGCAUGUCUUGCAAAGACUCCCAAUAUUGACAUCAGUACUUGAGAGUCAGUGGCUUAGGGGUGCAGAGGAGAUGGGUUAUACUUAUCUGAUGCUGCCUCUCAUGGGCCCUGUCAUCUUCGAUUUUCAAAUCCUGGUGCUUAAUAUAUCAGGAGUCAUCAGUGCUUUACCCUGGCACAUGCGAGCAACUGCAACACUGAUGUCUAUGGAAGAUAAAUAUAAUUUCAUGAUGAGUGAGGUAGUGCCUUAUUCUCAUAACCACAAGCAUUGGUUGUGGGAAGUGACAGAACCUGACAACGGUAGCUCUGUCUUUUGUCAAGUUUAGUCAACUUGAGUAUUUACCACAAGAUAAAUUUGUCCCUACUUUGUUUUGUGAUACCUUUCACUGCAUUGGAUUUCCAAUGAAUUUCCAACACAGUUGUUAUGGACAUUUCAGAAAGAUUUUAUCUUUAAUAAAUGUUUACAUUUUUUCUAGGUAGACAAAGCCACUUUAAAUUUGGAACAAAAUCAUAGUCAACAUAUAACAUUUAUCAGGGAGGAAAUGUGGUCAAUGUGAACAUCCCUGUAAAGAAAAGUAUGUGUUUCUAUUAAUAGUUAGCACAUUUGUGUAAGAACACCAAAAACAACUAAGCUUGACAUCUAAUGUUUAGGUAUCUCUCAGUUUGUGCCUGUACAUAAGCGUCUUCUCACCUAUCUUUUCAAUCAACCAGUUAAAAUACUAGUGUUAAGUUUAUUUUUUUUCAAUUGACCAUAUUUUAAACAACAGUAACUGAAUGCAUUUAUGUUUGUUAUAAAUAUUUUUAGCCAAGUAUUUGAGAUUAUUCUAUAUUGCUGAAUUUCAAACAUGUAGUGUUUAAAACUAUUAUAUCUUUAACCAUCACUUUAGACAAAGUUUGACGUAUUUGUAUUUUGUAUUGAUCACAAAAUGAGUAAAGAAAUCUGUGCAAACAGCGUAAAUGUUAGUUUUCUUAUAAACUUAUCAAUUAAAUUCACCUGAAAAAGAUGUAUUUUU